rnacentral:rRNA from 1 species
ACAUCUCUUAUCGAGGAUCCAUUGGAGGGCAAGUCUGGUGCCAGCAGCCGCGGUAAUUCCAGCUCCAAUAGCGUAUAUUAAAGUUGUUGCAGUUAMAACGCUCGUAGUCGGAUUUCGAAGCACGCUCACGGGGUCGGUUCUUGCUGUUCCUGUGGGGGUGUCUUCUUAUUCUGGGACGCGGUGUGCGGGACUUGAUUGUCUCUGCACAUCUGCGGGCCGGACGUUUACUGUGAAGAAAUUAGGGUGUUCAAAGCAGGCGUUUGCUAUGAAUACGUGAGCAUGGAAUAAUAGAAUAGGACUUGGGCUCUAUUUUGUUGGUUUCCGGAGAACAAGUAAUGAUUAAUAGGGACAGUUGGGGGCAUUCGUAUUUCAUUGUCAGAGGUGAAAUUCUUGGAUUGAUGGAAGACGAACAACUGCGAAAGCAUCUGCCAAGGAUGUUUUCAUUGAUCAAGAACGAAAGUUAGGGGAUCGAAGACGAUCAGAURCCGUCGUA